rnacentral:tRNA from 1 species
GCGCGAGUAGUAUAGUGGUUAGUAUCUCUCGUUGCCAUAUAACAGGAUAUAAUAUCCUUUUUGUUUCUUUUAAUAGAAACAGAGAGUGUAAGAACGAGGUGACCCGGGUUCGAAUCCCGGCUCGCGCA